rnacentral:rRNA from 1 species
CAGGCUUAACACAUGCAAGUCGAGGGGCAGCAUGGUCUUAGCUUGCUAAGGCCGAUGGCGACCGGCGCACGGGUGAGUAACACGUAUCCAACCUGCCGUCUACUCUUGGACAGCCUUCUGAAAGGAAGAUUAAUACAAGAUGGCAUCAUGAGUCCGCAUGUUCACAUGAUUAAAGGUAUUCCGGUAGACGAUGGGGAUGCGUUCCAUUAGAUAGUAGGCGGGGUAACGGCCCACCUAGUCUUCGAUGGAUAGGGGUUCUGAGAGGAAGGUCCCCCACAUUGGAACUGAGACACGGUCCAAACUCCUACGGGAGGCAGCAGUGAGGAAUAUUGGUCAAUGGGCGAGAGCCUGAACCAGCCAAGUAGCGUGAAGGAUGACUGCCCUAUGGGUUGUAAACUUCUUUUAUAAAGGAAUAAAGUCGGGUAUGGAUACCCGUUUGCAUGUACUUUAUGAAUAAGGAUCGGCUAACUCCGUGCCAGCAGCCGCGGUAAUACGGAGGAUCCGAGCGUUAUCCGGAUUUAUUGGGUUUAAAGGGAGCGUAGAUGGAUGUUUAAGUCAGUUGUGAAAGUUUGCGGCUCAACCGUAAAAUUGCAGUUGAUACUGGAUAUCUUGAGUGCAGUUGAGGCAGGCGGAAUUCGUGGUGUAGCGGUGAAAUGCUUAGAUAUCACGAAGAACUCCGAUUGCGAAGGCAGCCUGCUAAGCUGCAACUGACAUUGAGGCUCGAAAGUGUGGGUAUCAAACAGGAUUAGAUACCCUGGUAGUCCACACGGUAAACGAUGAAUACUCGCUGUUUGCGAUAUACGGCAAGCGGCCAAGCGAAAGCGUUAAGUAUUCCACCUGGGGAGUACGCCGGCAACGGUGAAACUCAAAGGAAUUGACGGGGGCCCGCACAAGCGGAGGAACAUGUGGUUUAAUUCGAUGAUACGCGAGGAACCUUACCCGGGCUUAAAUUGCAGAUGAAUUACGGUGAAAGCCGUAAGCCGCAAGGCAUCUGUGAAGGUGCUGCAUGGUUGUCGUCAGCUCGUGCCGUGAGGUGUCGGCUUAAGUGCCAUAACGAGCGCAACCCUUGUUGUCAGUUACUAACAGGUUCCGCUGAGGACUCUGACAAGACUGCCAUCGUAAGAUGUGAGGAAGGUGGGGAUGACGUCAAAUCAGCACGGCCCUUACGUCCGGGGCUACACACGUGUUACAAUGGGGGGUACAGAGGGCCGCUACCACGCGAGUGGAUGCCAAUCCCCAAAACCUCUCUCAGUUCGGACUGGAGUCUGCAACCCGACUCCACGAAGCUGGAUUCGCUAGUAAUCGCGCAUCAGCCACGGCGCGGUGAAUACGUUCCCGGGCCUUGUACACACCGCCCGUCAAGCCAUGGGAGCCGGGGGUACCUGAAGUGCGUAACCGCGAGGAGCGCCCUAGGGUAAAACUGGUGACUGGGGCUAAG